rnacentral:sRNA from 2 species
CAUAUUUCGGGUAUUAGAUAUCGAUACAUCUGCGUUAGCCGUGUGCAGAACUGCAAAUCCGAGGUGGGUAACCAGUUGCGACAUGGUAAUGGCGCAGGUAGCUGUGCAUUUCACUGAAUGGGGGCCAUGCACUGCAUACUGUAUUUGAUCGGGCUAAUAUUGCUAUUCUUGGGAAUAGUUGGGAACAUAAUUGGGCUAACUAUUCUCGUCAAUUAUGCUCUGUUGGAUUUGGUGUCUCGUGGGCCCAACUCCGCCUCAGCCACAGCAUCAACGACGCACGUCACCACCUUGUUGGGAGAGCCGCAUCAUGUAUGGAAUCAUGAAAUGGAGCCUUGGUUGAAUCCUGGGCACUGGGGCCCCGCUCUCAAGUUUAAAGUUAGAGCCGAAAUCCACGCGUCGAGAUACCCGCAGCAACUUUCCAUCUUUCGACAAACCUUAAUCAGCUUUCCUGCUGAAGUUUUCAAAUGGGGCGGAAGCUUGGUGUAUGGCUUGAGAUAUAUCGGAAGUCCCCUUGUGGCUUGGCCUACUUCUCUUGAUAUUCCAUUCUCUUCAAAGAAAAUUAAGAUGCCAUCAGGUCUUGCACAGCUGAACGAUCCAGGUAAUGUGGCAUUCGGAGUCUUUGGAGGAGCGGGAGAACGAGGACGAGGAGACCAUAUAUUUCCAUGUAACUACCUGAUAGC